UGGGCGCAAGCCUGAUCCAGCCAUACCGCGUGGGUGAAGAAGGCCUUCGGGUUGUAAAGCCCUUUUGUUGGGAAAGAAAUCCAGCCGGCUAAUACCUGGUUGGGAUGACGGUACCCAAAGAAUAAGCACCGGCUAACUUCGUGCCAGCAGCCGCGGUAAUACGAAGGGUGCAAGCGUUACUCGGAAUUACUGGGCGUAAAGCGUGCGUAGGUGGUUAUUUAAGUCCGUUGUGAAAGCCCUGGGCUCAACCUGGGAACUGCAGUGGAUACUGGAUGACUAGAAUGUGGUAGAGGGUAGCGGAAUUCCUGGUGUAGCAGUGAAAUGCGUAGAGAUCAGGAGGAACAUCCAUGGCGAAGGCAGCUACCUGGACCAACAUUGACACUGAGGCACGAAAGCGUGGGGAGCAAACAGGAUUAGAUACCCUGGUAGUCCACGCCCUAAACGAUGCGAACUGGAUGUUGGGUGCAAUUUGGCACGCAGUAUCGAAGCUAACGCGUUAAGUCGCCGCCUGGGAUAUC
rnacentral:rRNA from 1 species